rnacentral:rRNA from 1 species
AUUGAACGCUGGCGGCAGGCCUAACACAUGCAAGUCGAGCGGAUGAAGGGAGCUUGCUCCUGGAUUCAGCGGCGGACGGGUGAGUAAUGCCUAGGAAUCUGCCUGGUAGUGGGGGAUAACGUCCGGAAACGGGCGCUAAUACCGCAUACGUCCUGAGGGAGAAAGUGGGGGAUCUUCGGACCUCACGCUAUCAGAUGAGCCUAGGUCGGAUUAGCUAGUUGGUGGGGUAAAGGCCUACCAAGGCGACGAUCCGUAACUGGUCUGAGAGGAUGAUCAGUCACAUUAGAACUGAGACGCGGUCCAGGCGCCUACGGGAGGCAGCAGUGGGGAAUGUUGGACAAUAGGCGAAAGCCUGAUACAGCCAUGCCGCGUGUGUGAAGAAGAUCUUCGGAGUGUAAAGCACUUUAAGUUGGGAGGAAGGGCAGUAAGUUAAUACCUUGCUGUUUUGACGGUACCAACAGAAUAAGCACCGGCUAACUUCGUG